UUAGUGGUGCAGUGUGCUUUUGAGGAAGGUUUGGUGGCAAAGGUAGAUUUUUAGCCUUAGCAUUUCACAACUGGUGGGCAGAAUUUAGAUGGGCAGAAGCAUUUUAGGAGAUUUUCAGAUUGAGAAAUGGAGGCAUCGAGGUCAAAUCUUUUACCUAAACCACUGAGCAGCAGAGACAGCUUCCUAUCCCAUGUUUCAGUGCUGGAGCAGACCCGUGUGUGUUUGGGAGCAGGGGUAGCUGGAGCUCUUGGAGGCCUCGCAGAGAGAUGGCCUUGCCCAUGAUGAAGUCCUCUGGUGACUCUGCAGGACUGGCUUCGGUCUUCAAAUUGGAUAUUUCCACUGGCACAUAACUAAGCCUCAGUCAAUGGAACUAUACAUCCAUAAGUCUCAGAAAGCAGAAGGAUGGCUUCCUAAAUGAUUUUUCCUUAUGCUAUAUGUGCCAAUAGAUAUCACUAAUACAAUCAGUACAAAUAACAGUUCAUGGCUUCAGACAACAGAGGUCUUUUCAACCUCUGUUGAGUCUGUAGAAAAUCAUCUUGAUAAAAUGCUAUUAAAUUUAAGGAUAUGGAGUGCAGGUUCUGCAAGAAGAAUGGCCCUGGGACCUAGAACAGUGCCUGGUCCAA
rnacentral:lncRNA from 1 species